rnacentral:rRNA from 1 species
UACGUAGGCAGCAAGCGUUGUUCGGAAUUACUGGGCGUAAAGAGUGUGUAGGCGGUGCUCUAAGUUCGGUGUGAAAUCUCCCGGCUCAACUGGGAGGGUGCGCCGAAAACUGGAGUGCUGGAGCGCGGGAGAGGAAAGCGGAAUUCCUGGUGUAGCGGUGAAAUGCGUAGAUAUCAGGAGGAACACCGGCGGUGUAGACGGCUUUCUGGACCGUAGCUGACGCUGAGACACGAAAGCGUGGGUAGCAAAUAGG